CACGUAGGGGGCGAGCGUUGUCCGGAUUCAUUGGGCGUAAAGGGCGCGCAGGCGGCCCGGAAAGUCGGAUGUGAAAACCCGGGGCUCAACCCCGGGCGUGCAUUCGAUACUGCGUGGCUCGAGACAGGUAGGGGAGAUCGGAAUUCCUGGUGUAGCGGUGAAAUGCGCAGAUAUCAGGAGGAACACCGGUGGCGAAGGCGGAUCUCUGGGCCUGUUCUGACGCUGAGGCGCGAAAGCUAGGGGAGCGAACAGG
rnacentral:rRNA from 1 species